CCUACGGGAGGCAGCAGUGAGGAAUAUUGGUCAAUGGACGAGAGUCUGAACCAGCCAAGUAGCGUGAAGGAUGACUGCCCUAUGGGUUGUAAACUUCUUUUAUAUGGGAAUAAAAUGUUCCACGUGUGGGAUUUUGUAUGUACCAUAUGAAUAAGGAUCGGCUAACUCCGUGCCAGCAGCCGCGGUAAUACGGAGGAUCCGAGCGUUAUCCGGAUUUAUUGGGUUUAAAGGGAGCGUAGGUGGAUUGUUAAGUCAGUUGUGAAAGUUUGCGGCUCAACCGUAAAAUUGCAGUUGAAACUGGCAGUCUUGAGUACAGUAGAGGUGGGCGGAAUUCGUGGUGGAGCGGUGAAAUGCUUAGAUAUCACGAAGAACUCCGAUUGCGAAGGCAGUUCACUGGACUGCAACUGACACUGAGGCUCGAAAGUGUGGGUAUCAAACAGGAUGAGAUACCACUGUAGUC
rnacentral:rRNA from 1 species